GUCGAAUUCUAUGUAGAGAGAGAAAAACCCUAGAGAGAGAGAGAAAGAAGGUGGAGGAAGCUCCUCUGCACUCUAGCACACUCCACUGAAGUCCCAGAGUCGUGCUGGGAUCAAAUAGAUAGGUAUCAAAUGUGAAAAGACCAAACUAGCCUUGCUGCCACGAUUCUGCCAGCUUGUACCGGUACAAGGUAAUGGCUGUACCGGUACAGCAAGCAGAAAAAUGCUGAAUUUCGCCCGUUCAAUGCAUCUUCUUGCUUCCGACAUUCCGAUCACUCUCAAACUUAUGUGUAACCAUCUUUAAACCCUAUAGAACAUGUGGGAGGGUUCCAAAUAUCAUUCCUCACACUCGAACUCCGCAAAUUGCUGAAGUUCAGUAUACUAUAACGCAGUAAGUUCAGGAAUCGCUUCGACGACGCACUUUCUUGCAUCCAAAAGUCUAAUAGUUCUCAAAAUUGACCCAAAAACACCUUUACAAAGAGUAGAACCUGUGGGCACAUGCCACUUCUCAACCCCACUUUCCAACUUCACCAAUUUGUAAAGUUCAAGGUAUUACAGUUUUACUCUUCAUUCGGUUGAAUGAGAAAAAGUACUCGUUGCCAAGUUAUACUGUUAGGGCGCAACUGAGUAGUCUAAUGUUUGUCCGGUUUUGUUUAUUGUGAACGUUAACAUUGAUACAUUGAUACAUAAACAAUAUAAUUAGGUUUACUCUUUGUUCGAUUGAAUGAGAAAAAGCACUGUUUGCAAAGUUAUACUGUUAGGGCGCAACUAAGUAGGCUACUGUUCGUAAGGUUUUGGUUUAUGUGAACUUUGACAUCGAUACGUUGCUAAUUUACACACUCGGGGCAUAAUAAAAUAAUAUGAUUGGGUUUUACUCUUCGUUCGGUUGAAUGAGAAAAAGUUCUCGUUGCCAGGUUAUACUUUUAGGGCGCAACUGAGUAGUCUAAUAUUGGUCUGGUUUUGGUUCUUGUGAACGUUGACGUCGAUAAGUUGCAAAUUUACGCUCUUGGGGCAUAAUAGACCAAUAUAAUUGGGUUUUACUCAUUGUUCGGUUGAAGAUGAAAAAGUACUCGUUGAAAAGUUUUACUGUUAGUGCGCAACAGAGUAGUCUAAUGUUGGUCCGGUUUUGGUUUUUAUGAAC
rnacentral:lncRNA from 1 species